rnacentral:rRNA from 1 species
AGCGAACGCUGGCGGCAGGCCUAACACAUGCAAGUCGAACGGUCCUUCGGGACAGUGGCGGACGGGUGAGUAACGCGUGGGAACGUGCCCUUAGGUUCGGAACAACUCAGGGAAACUUGAGCUAAUACCGAAUGUGCCCUACGGGGGAAAGAUUUAUCGCCUUUGGAGCGGCCCGCGUCUGAUUAGCUAGUUGGUGAGGUAAAGGCUCACCAAGGCUACGAUCAGUAGCUGGUCUGAGAGGAUGAUCAGCCACACUGGGACUGAGACACGGCCCAGACUCCUACGGGAGGCAGCAGUGGGGAAUCUUGCGCAAUGGGCGAAAGCCUGACGCAGCCAUGCCGCGUGAAUGAUGAAGGUCUUAGGAUUGUAAAAUUCUUUCACCGGGGACGAUAAUGACGGUACCCGGAGAAGAAGCCCCGGCUAACUUCGUGCCAGCAGCCGCGGUAAUACGAAGGGGGCUAGCGUUGCUCGGAAUUACUGGGCGUAAAGGGCGCGUAGGCGGACAGUUU